GAUGAAGAACGUAGCGAAAUGCGAUAAGUAAUGUGAAUUGCAGAAUUCAGUGAAUCAUCGAAUCUUUGAACGCACAUUGCGCCCCCUGGUAUUCCGGGGGGCAUGCCUGUUCGAGCGUCAUUUCACCACUCAAGCCUCGCUUGGUAUUGGGCAACGCGGUCCGCCGCGUGCCUCAAAUCGACCGGCUGGGUCUUCUGUCCCCUAAGCGUUGUGGAACUAUUCGCUAAAGGGUGUUCGGGAGGCUACGCCGUAAAACAACCCCAUUUCUAAGGUUGACCUCGGAUCAGGUAGGGAUACCCGCUGAACUUAAGCAUAUCAAUAAGCGGAGGA
rnacentral:misc_RNA from 1 species